rnacentral:rRNA from 1 species
CAAGCCUCCGCAUCCCGGUGAAAAUGCCCUCUAAAUCACCCAGUGAUCCAAAGGAGCCGGUAUCAAGUACACAACCAUUGUAGCUCAUGACACCUUGCUCAGCCACACCCCCACGGGAUACAGCAGUGAUAAAAAUUAAGCCAUGAAUGAAAGUUCGACUAAGCUAUAUUAAAUUAGGGUUGGUAAAUUUCGUGCCAGCCACCGCGGUCAUACGAUUAACCCAAACUAAUAGACCCACGGCGUAAAGCGUGUUACAGAAAAAAGUAUACUAAAGUUAAGCCUUAACUAGGCUGUAAAAAGCCACAGUUAACGUAAAAAUACAGCACGAAAGUAACUUUAAUAUUUCUGACCACACGAUAGCUAAGACCCAAACUGGA